rfam:Triticum aestivum genome assembly, contig: Triticum_aestivum_CS42_TGACv1_scaffold_328779_4BS
GUACUACUCCCUCCGUUCGAAAUUACUUGUCGCGAAAAUGGAUGUAUCUAAACGUAUUUUAGUUCUAAAUACAUCCAUUUUAAAGACAAGUAAUUCCGAACGAAGGGAGUAGUAG